UGGAAGGGGUGGAAGGUCGACGUCACACAGCCCUGGUGGCAGGUUUGAUCUCUGUUUUAAAAGGAGGAGAUGGGAGUCAGAAGGCAAAGGGUACUAUGCCCAGGGCCCCCAGCUGGAAGGAGCAGAUCCAUUUGCUUUCUCUGUCCUGCACUUUAGCUGUUUUUCUAAAAAGAAGCAUGUUCCCCUUCUGGGGAUCAGUCAUUCAUGGCCAUCACCCCAAAUCAGCAGUAGUUUGGCAGGGCUGGGAGGACUAGCUUCUGCAGACUGUCCCCAUUCAAGUUCUCGAACAGGGAAGAGAGCAGCUACCAAUAAUGGUUGAAAAAUUAACCAAGGAGGAAACACCCUUAGUUGAGGACUAACGUGGGGAGGGCCACUGCUGGGAUGGGGAUCUCCACUGGCUUCACUCGGAAUUCUGCCCUCCUCCACAUCUGAGCCACCUUUUCAGUAAGGCCUGCUUUCUCCAUCAUGUGCUGUUUGUAUUUCUUUUCCACAGCAGUCACUAUCUUUUCAUUAUUUCUUUUAAGCUUUCUAUCAGCUUGUGAGUGUGUAUGCAUGGUGAUAUGUGUGAAUGUGUGUGCAUAGUGAUGUGAGUAUGAGUGUGUAUGCAUGGUGAUGUGUGACUGACUGUAUGCAUGGUGUUAUGAGUGUGUGACUGUGUGUGCAUGAUGAUGUGAGUGUGUGUGGGGUGAUGUGUGUGUGUGCAUGAUGUGAGUGUGUGAGUGUGUGUGCAUGGUGAUGUGAGUGUGUGUGUGGGGUGAUGUGUGUGUGUGCACAAUGUGAGUGUGUGAGUGUGUGUGCAUGGUGAUGUGAGUGUGUGAAUGUGUGCAUAGUGAUGUGAGUAUGAGUGUGUAUGCAUGGUGCUGUGUGUGUACAUAAUGUGAGUGUAUGAAUGUGUGUGCAUGGUGAUGUAAGUGUGUGAAUAUGUGUGUAUGCACAUGGAGGCCAGAAGUUGAUGGAAGUGUCUUCCUCUAUUGCCUUCCUCUUUUUUUUUUUUUGUUUGCAAUAAAGUUUUUCUGUGAACCUAGAGCCCACCUGCCUACCAGUUUGAGCUCAACUGGCUGGUCACGACCCCAGCACCCUUCUUUCUUAGCAGCCCAGUGCUGGGGUUACAGAUGUGUGCCACUACUUAGCCUGUCCAUCUGCUGGGGAUCCAAGUGCAGUUCCUUAGGCUCCUGUAGCAAGCCCUUUACCUACUGUCUUAUGGUUUCUAUCGCUGUGGUGAAGCACCAUGACAAAAGUGAGCUGGAGACAAAGGGUUUAUUUACUGUGCACUUCCACAUCAUAGCUAAUCAUUGAAAGAUGUCAGGGCAGGAACUCAAACAAUGCAGGAACCUGGAGGCAGGAGCUGAUGGAGAAUCGUGGAGGACUCACUCACUGGCCUGCUUCUCAUGCUCACCCUGAUUUCUUACAGAACCCAGAGCCACCAGCCUGGGGUGGCACCACCCACAAAAGGCUGGACCUUUCCCAAUUAAUCACUAAUUAAGAGAACACCCGACAGGUUUGCCUACAGCCCAGUCUUAGAGAGGCAUUUUCUCAAUCGAGGCUCCCUCCUCUCUGAAGAUUCUAGCAUGUGUCAGGUUGGCAUAAAACUAGCCAGUUCACCUGCCUUACUCCUUCCCAGCCCCACUCACCGCCUGUCCAUAUACACUGUUGGGAUCUAAUUUCCAAAACCCAGUUUGCAUGUCCACUCUCCUAAGUCUAGUAGUCCACUCCCAGGAAGACUGACUAAGAAAUUGUUCCUAACCUUCCUUCUGGUUUACCAAAUCCUUCUAGAAAGAGUACAAACCAGUAAGAAAUCAAACAGGGAAUAAUCCACAGAAUAAAUGCUUAGAGAUAAAAACAUAUUUGUGUUUAGUUGAUUUUCCUAUCCCUUUCCCCAUAAUUUUGCAAAGGGACUGAUGAAGUCAGAUUUCAGUAAUUAUGUCCCAGUAGUCUCAGGUGGGAAAAUGUAAAAUGACUAAAAAGAGACCAGAAUUAGCCUGGGCUAGGCCUCAAGGCAUAGACAGCAGGAUGGUGAGAUACUGAAUAGCCUGUCCCAUACCUCCACAGGGGGCUGACCCUGAGAGACCCCUAGAGCCCUGGCCCGCCCCUCUCCCCAUUCCCAUCCAGGAAGGCUCUCUGGGAAGAAGGCAGGUCAGGAGCCUAAGUGACCUUUCACACCUCAGACAAGCUAAGUUUGUUUUCUGCCUUUCUGUCCAGGGCUCAGAUGGGGGGUGGGGAGGGUGGGGUGGGCCUUUUCUAUUCUCUUGGUACAAAUACCCCAGAGGAGCUGAAGUGGAGGGAGUAAAGGAUCUAUUUAUUUUGGCUCAGGAGGGACAAUGUAAGCAGAUGGUCUUUGAUGGGAUUAGCGGCGUAAUCUCUAAGACCCUGGUAAAUUGGAAAAUGAUCCAUUAUAUUCCAGAACCUUUGGCGGCUUCAGCUCCUGGGGAGGGAGGGGCAGGCCGAGGGGCACCUUGUUAGAACGGACCCCUCUGGGAGCAGCGGAAUCCUGCACUGGAGAACUAGGGAGGAGGGGGUCUUAGGCUCUUCCUGGCCCCUUAGCCUCACUUUUCUUCUGCAUGUGCUGGAUGGUCCUCAAAGCCAUCUCUGGCAGCUCAGGGUCUGGGGGUGGGGGUGGAAGGGAAGACAAUGCUAUUGCAUUUCUUGCCUUGGAGGAGAAGAACAUUCUUAGAAUUCAAAGUCUGUGUUCUCUGGUGCAUUUGCUGUAGCCCAAGCCCAUCUCCUUCUCCCAACAGCCCUCAGGGGAGAGCAUUGGCUACUGGGGCUGCAAUUGGGGAACCCAGGAAGAGAAGGGCCUGGAAGGUUUCCCCUCUAAACAGAUCCAGAAAUGGUGAGAUUGUGGGUGCUGAGGGACGUUAACUCACACAAGUUAUCUGUGGGCCCCAUUUCUGCCGCCUUCUACAGUUCACAGAGGAAGUUGGAUUACUGAAUUUCACUGAGGAGGCACUGGAAGGACCAGAGACAGACCUGCUGGGUGAUUUCCCUGAGGUCAUCCAGGGCUGCGGGAACCUCUGCCCAGACCCCGGGAGAGUGACCACGAGCCCGCCGCGGACGCAGCUCUCUCACCCAACAGCAAAGACCCGGAGGGCCCGGAGAGUUGCUCAGGUUUCAAGGAAAAUGAAAUGACCCAAUACUGGAGUCCAGGUUGCUCGGCUGCGGGCUGAAUCCCUGGGUGCUGCAGGAGAUCGACCUGCGGGGCCUGGGACACCGUCGGCGGAUCCGGACCCGGGGCAAGCUCGCAGAACCAGUCCCAGGGGCGGCUCACCCAGCCCUAACCUUGGGAUGGGGGCCCAGACCGACCGCGGGGGGCGCAGCGUCCGGGAGAACCUAGUCGCUGGAGACGAAAGCGUGGGAGCGGCUGCGCUCCGGGCCCCGGCGUCCUUAUCCCCAGACCAAGCCUCCCGGCCAUCACCCGAACACCGCGGGACGCCACGCAGCCGGCUGAGGGUUCAAGCCUUUGGCGCCCUUUCCGCGCGCCCCACCGCGCCCAGGGCUUGGGCGGCUAUUAGUGCUCUUCGUCCGAGCGAGGUGCAGCGAGCGAGCAAGCAACUAGGCUCCCGCCGCGCCCCAAGAGGUCCGCCCGUCCAGGGCAGGUGUAUCCCUGUCCCCUCUGCCCUUUCCAGCCGGGCUUCCUGCGUGGAAUUUUAACGCAAACGUGUCUCUGGUAGUCUUUCUUCUUGCUUCAUUUAGAAUUGUUGUCUCUUCUUUUAAUGUUUUAUUUCUUUCCAGGUAGAUGUUCUAGGGUUGGUUUUUUGUUUUUCUUUUUGUUUUUUUAAUCUGUUUCCCGGUGUCUGCCCACUCCCCCAAAUCUCUCUCUCAUCUCUUUCAUCCCCUUGCUCGCUGGUCAAGGCUCUUUGAUUUCUCUCUCCUCCCCACUUCAGGGACAGGACUCUCUUAGAGACCCACGUACCACCAUAUGGGUGUGGUGAGGAAGAGCAGGUCAACGAUGGACAACCUCUCACUCCCACAGACACUCAAGCUCGGUGCUCCCACAGUUCACUCUCCCACACAGGGCACCUGUGACCGGUCCACGUCACGCACUGUUCAUUUACAUGGACUUUGCUGAACUCAGAAGCUGAACCCAGCUGGGGGGGGGUCGGGAGGGAGCACACAGAGGGGCUUGCAGGCUAGUCUUCCUGGAACAGAGCUGUGCCUCCUCAGGGUGGGGGUCAGGGUGUCUUUAGGUCCACAAGCCCUUGCCCCUAUACCUGGGAGCUCCACAGCAAACUCAAGCCAACUUCCCACGCGUGACGCACACCCACACACCUCUAAUCAGAAUGUUACACGAAGCCCCAAACUGCACGCACAGAACUGUACACUCAAUAGGAUGCAUAUUCCCAUCAGUACACACAGGCUUGCACUGAGAAUGUACAUGAGCUGCGGACAGAUAAACAGAUAAACCUCACACCCAGGAAGGGGGCAUGUUUCUGUGUCAGGGUGACACUGGGUGCAUAACUUGGUAGGGACAUGGAUAGAACACCUACAUAUACCCACUCGGAUUCAUUUCUUCUGCAAAACUGGGACUGAGGUUGGAGAAGAGUGCCCAAACCUCAGAAGUGAAUAUUAUAACUAAAACAAUUCUGCUGCAUCAAACACAGCUGGCGUUUGACCAGGGUCCCCAAGAGGAGAUCUCUUUAUGUGAAAACAAGAGGUGCAUACGGUUCUAGGAACAAUAUGUACAGAUGUCUCGCUCCUGACACAUAGACAGAGAGAUAAAGAACAGGACAUCCUUGUGCAGCUUCAGGGUACCCAUAACAAGCUGCCAUGCUAGCUUUGCUUCUCGCUCCAGGAUGGAGGACGCUGGUGCCUUGGGAGCUGCGUGGUUAUGACAGUUUAUCAUUGGUUCUUGUAGAGGUAACACAAACCACCAACUGGGGGCAUUUGGGCUGCUUAGGGAGAGACUCUGGGGGUGAAGGGCUAUACCUCUGGGUCUCAGGUUCCAAAUGUCAGCGAGAGUGGUAGCCAGACAUGCCUGGCUAAUGUAUACAGACUAAAAAUGUAUGCAGCUGGUCCCAGGGACACAGGCACACAAAGGUCCUGCAGAAGACCAGCAGUGUGAGUUACUGAUGUCCACUCUAACUGCUCAGAGGAGCAGUGGGAGAAAAGAUGAGGGCACAAGAUAUUUACUUGCGUACACAGCUCCAGCUCCGGGAGUUUGUGGUUCAGUUAUAGGGGAGGGCUACGGAGAUGGGAGAGCAUACACAGAGAUAGAUACAGCAUACAUAGCACCUGUGUGGCGCCAGUGCGGGAAAGGCGUCCUUGGGUAAGUCACUUGAAUAGUGACUCUGGGUUUGUAAAGCACAGGACAUGCUUGGUGACAUUGCAACUCCGCUCUCUAGCUCCCUGACUGAACAGAAGGAAGGGCAAAGCAGAAGAAAGGAUCCUAAGAAACGAUCCUAUCCAACCUCUCUCCUGUGGGCUGGAAACCCAAAGGGGCUGGCUAACAACAGUCUGCAGGCGCUCUGUCCUGUCCUCCGCUGGGCUCCCGUGCCUCCCAGCUUUACUCGAGUUCCCUAGGAAGUUUGUCUUUCCUGACUCUGUUUUCCCAUCUUCCUGCCUCUGCCUCCUCAGCUCUCUCACUGAGCACAGCCACAGAGAACCUGCUGGAUGCAGGACUGAAGGCCAAUAGAGAUGCUCAAGGUGGCUGUGAAGUGACAAACCCUGUAGGAACGCAGGGUUUUUGUUUGUUUUGUUUUGUUUUGUUUUUCUGCACAGACAUCGGAAUAAAACCUGAGCUUGCUUCCUUCCAC